rnacentral:sRNA from 1 species
GCCGGGCAUGGUGGUGCACACCUGUAAUCCCAAUGGCUUGGGAGGCUGAGGCAAGAGGAUUGUAAGUUCAAAGUCAGCCUCAGCAAAAAGCGAGGCACUAAGCAAUUCAGUGAGACCCUGUCUCUA